ensembl:lncRNA AABR07015007.1
UAGAAAGAGUAGCUUUGUACUAUAUGUAAAUUAUAACAACAUUUUCCCUUCACAGUCUUUCCCUUCCCCAGUGUAAUCUCUUUGCUAUUUCAGAAAUGGAGGUUAUUGAGAAAGGAGCUAUAAUGUUGUUUCCAAAGAUGGCAUUUUCCCCCUGGGCAAGAGUUCAAACAGCGCUGACAAGAAAUUCAGAGUCUCAGAGCAGGCUACCAGGAGACAGCCAAUAUGUUUCAUCACCUCCUGUGGAUGCAGCAAGUGGGCAGCACAGUGCUGAGCUGCACGGUGUCUCCUGGGCCGCCAUCACCUCCCAUAAUCGCCCGGAGCAUGGAGGAGUUACAUGUUUUAUACCGGAGUAAAUUAUAUCCCACCAUUGUAAAACAACCGCGGAGUCUUCACAUCAUAACUUCAAUGGUACAAAUCCACUUCUCAGCACACUUAUCAGACUUCUGCAAGAAGAAAGGUUUCCGGCGCUGAUCAAGGCAGACUUUUGCAGAUUUUCCCCUGUAAGCUGAGACAUAAAGGCCAUCUCUCUCUGGUCGCCUUCCGG